CUUCAACCUGGUCCUGAAAUACAACUAUCCCUUUGGUGAAAAUUUGGCUAGUUCUUCCCAGGAAGAAAGGGGUUGGAGUAACUGGUAAAAGAAACAUAUACUUUCAUUUUUUAUUUUUCUUAAGUUAGCAUAGAACAAGAAAAAAUAAAAGGACCCAGUCAACCCUUUAUCCCCUAAGGAAUCCUUUUAUUAGGUUAAUAUUUGCAAUUCCCCUUCUCUCUGGUCUUUAAAAUAGGAUGAGUCCAAAGAAAUUUCUCAUUGAUUGGCUGAAGGGUGAACUGGAUGAGGAUGCAAAUGAGGACUGUGGGCUCUAUCAGAUUUCAUCACAUCACACACCUGCAUCUCCUCGGUUUGUUUACUUUCCACCCCUUGACUGCAUUCAAUAAACAGUACUCAGAGUGAAUAACAGCAGAGAUGGGACAGUGGAAAAAAUCAGUGAUAAAAAAAAUCCAUAUUUUAUUCUUUUAACUUGAGUAAAUACAAAAUUUCAUUAUCUUAAUUUGGGGUAGUUAGUUGAAAUCUCAUAUUUUACAUAUAAAUUUUACAACAUGUGACUUACAAUGAAGUUUUUUUAUAUAUAAUUUUGCAACAGAAAAUAAGUGU
rnacentral:lncRNA from 1 species